rnacentral:rRNA from 1 species
CCACUGGUAUGUACUGGUCUCACUGAUUCCUCCUCCUGAUGAGCCGUAAUGCCAUUAAUUUGGUGUUGUGAGGAAUCUGGACUGUUACUUUGAAAAAUUAGAGUGUUUAAAGCAGGCUAACGCUUGAAUACAUUAGCAUGGAAUAAUGAAAUAGGACGUUCGAUCUUAUUUUAGUUGGUUUCUUAAGAUUGACGUAAUGAUUAAUAGGGAUAGUUGGGGGCAUUAGUAUUCAAUUGUCAGAGGUGAAAUUCUUGGAUUUAUUGAAGACUAACUACUGCGAAAGCAUUUGCCAAGGAUGUUUUCAUUAAUCAAGAACGAAAGUUAGGGGAUCGAAGACGAUCAGAUACCGUCGUAGUCUUAACCAUAAACUAUGCCGACUAGGGAUCGGAUGAUGUUAAUUUUUUAAUGACUCAUUCGGCGCCUUACG